rnacentral:rRNA from 1 species
AGAACGAACGCUGGCGGCAUGCCUAACACAUGCAAGUCGAACGAGACCUUCGGGUCUAGUGGCGCACGGGUGCGUAACGCGUGGGAAUCUGCCCUCAGGUACGGAAUAACUCAGGGAAACUUGAGCUAAUACCGUAUAAUGUCUUCGGACCAAAGAUUUAUCGCCUGGGGAUGAGCCCGCGUAGGAUUAGCUUGUUGGUGAGGUAAAAGCUCACCAAGGCGACGAUCCUUAGCUGGUCUGAGAGGAUGAUCAGCCACACUGGGACUGAGACACGGCCCAGACUCCUACGGGAGGCAGCAGUGGGGAAUAUUGGACAAUGGGCGCAAGCCUGAUCCAGCAAUGCCGCGUGAGUGAUGAAGGCCUUAGGGUUGUAAAGCUCUUUUACCCGGGAUGAUAAUGACAGUACCGGGAGAAUAAGCUCCGGCUAACUCCGUGCCAGCAGCCGC